rnacentral:rRNA from 1 species
CAUGAAGCCGGAAUCGCUAGUAAUCGCGGAUCAGAAUGCCGCGGUGAAUACGCUCCCGGGUCUUGUACACACCGCCCGUCACACCAUGGGAGUCGGGAAUGCCCGAAGUCUGUGACCCAACCAUUAAGGAGGGAGCAGCCGAAGGCAGGUCGGAUGACUGGGGUGAAGUCGUAACAAGGUAUC